rnacentral:rRNA from 1 species
UACGUAGGGGGCUAGCGUUGUCCGGAUUUAUUGGGCGUAAAGAGCGUGUAGGCGGCAAAGCAGGCCCGGGGUGAAAACUCGAGGCUUAACCUCGAGAUGUCAUCGGAAACCAUUUGGCUAGAGUCCGGAAGAGGAAAGUGGAAUUCCUGGUGUAGCGGUGAAAUGCGCAGAUAUCAGGAAGAACACCAAUGGCGAAAGCAGCUUUCUGGGACGGUACUGACGCUGAGACGCGAAAGCGUGGGGAGCGAACAGG